rnacentral:rRNA from 1 species
UACGUAGGGGGCAAGCGUUGUCCGGAUUUAUUGGGCGUAAAGAGCGUGUAGGCGGCCGUACAGGUCAGCUGUGAAAACUCGAGGCUCAACCUCGAGACGCCGGUGGAAACCAUCAGACUAGAGUCCGGAAGAGGAGAGCGGAAUUCCUGGUGUAGCGGUGAAAUGCGCAGAUAUCAGGAAGAACACCCGCGGCUAAGGCGGCUCUCUAGUACGGUACUGACGCUGAGACGCGAAAGCGUGGGGAGCGAACAGG